rnacentral:rRNA from 1 species
UAGAGUUUGAUCAUGGCUCAGAUUGAACGCUGGCGGAAUGCUUUACACAUGCAAGUCGAACGAUGAACCUUAGCUUGCUAAGGGGAUUAGUGGCGAACGGGUGAGUAAUAUAUCGGAACGUGCCUUGUAAUGGGGGAUAACUAGUCGGAAGAUUAGCUAAUACCGCAUACGCCCUGAGGGGGAAAGUAGGGGAUCUUCGGACCUUACGUUAUAAGAGCGGCCGAUAUCUGAUUAGCUAGUUGGUGGGGUAAUGGCCUACCAAGGCGACGAUCAGUAGCUGGUCUGAGAGGACGACCAGCCACACUGGAACUGAGACACGGUCCAGACUCCUACGGGAGGCAGCAGUGGGGAAUUUUGGACAAUGGGCGCAAGCGUGAUCCAGCCAUUCCGCGUGAGUGAAGAAGGCCUUCGGGUUGUAAAGCUCUUUCGCAAGGGAAGAAAACUUACUUUCUAAUAAAGAGUGAGGCUGACGGUACCUUGAUAAGAAGCACCGGCUAACUACGUGCCAGCAGCCGCGGUAAUACGUAGGGUGCGAGCGUUAAUCGGAAUUACUGGGCGUAAAGCGUGCGCAGGCGGUUUGGCAAGUCAGAUGUGAAAUCCCCGAGCUCAACUUGGGAACUGCGUUUGAAACUGCCAGACUAGAAUAUGUCAGAGGGGGGUAGAAUUCCACGUGUAGCAGUGAAAUGCGUAGAGAUGUGGAGGAAUACCAAUGGCGAAGGCAGCCCCCUGGGAUAAUAUUGACGCUCAUGCACGAAAGCGUGGGGAGCAAACAGGAUUAGAUACCCUGGUAGUCCACGCCCUAAACGAUGUCUACUAGUUGUUGGUGGAGUAAAAUCCAUGAGUAACGCAGCUAACGCGUGAAGUAGACCGCCUGGGGAGUACGGUCGCAGAUUAAACUCAAAGGAAUUGACGGGGGCCCGCACAGCGGUGGAUUAUGUGGAUUAUUUCGAUGCAACGCGAAAACCUUACCUGGCCCUUGACAUGCCACUACGAGCAGAGAUGCAUUAGGUGCCGGAAAGGGAAGUGGACCAGUGGCUGCAUUGCUUGUCUUCAGCUCCGUGU